GACGAACGGCUGGCGGCGUGCUUAACACAUGCAAGUCGAACGGGAGUAUUGAAGAAGCUUGCUUUAGAGAUACUUUAGUGGCGGACGGGUGAGUAACGCGUGAGGAGCUGUCCUAUGCAGGGGGACAACAGCUGGAAACGGCUGCUAGUACCCCAUAAGCCGAGAGGUAAAAGGAUCAAUCCGGCAGAGGAGGUACUCGCGUCCUAUCAGCUAGUAGGUGAGGUAACGGCUCACCUAGGCGAAGACGGGUAGCCGGCCUGAGAGGGCGAACGGCCACACUGGAACUGAGAUACGGCCCAGACUCCUACGGGGGGCAGCAGUGGGGAAUAUUGCGCAAUGGGGGCAACCCUGACGCAGCAACGCCGCGUGAGUGAGGAAGGUUUUCGGACCGUAAAGCUCUGUCGAGCGGGAAGAAAUGUAUCAUGGCUAAUAUCCAUGAUACUUGACGGUACCGCUAAAGGAAGCACCGGCUAACUCCGUG
rnacentral:rRNA from 1 species